GUGCAUGGUGACUCAAAUUUUUCUAUUGCUUUACUUUUUACGUUUUUUACGUUCGUCUAACGCUCUAAUAAGAUAACACAAAAUUGCGAGUGAUUGAAAGUGAUCGAGGAAAAUCGACUCAACACGCUUUAGCGUUGUAAUUCUUGGACAAAAACUACAAAUUAACAGAAAUUAACAAAACUUAUUUUCAGCCUUGUCAUCAGAAGGCUGAAACCGCCUCGUGUUCGAAGCUUAAAAUAAGUUAGUGCAGUUGGAAGUAAUCUAGGAAAAUAAUAAAAAAUAUAAAUUUCAAAAUGGUCGCCGUCUUUUGUCGUCGGAAUUCGGAAAGUGCCUCAUUCCUCAUUGCCUUUGCACUGAUGGCUGCAUGAUAUCUGUGAUCAAGUUCUGAAUUACUUGCUCGAAUCCUCCUACUUCCACAUCUGCUCAGUUUUUCCUACCACACACUGGGUCGCUGAUUCAAGAAGAAACAACCUAAUAAAUAGGUGAUGACGUCGUUCCAUAAGAAAUUGCUCUCUGCCAUGAAAGCAAUUGAUGUCUACUCCCAUGACAAAAUGUUUUGUAAAUUUCCGACUUUACUAAAAAGAUCAAUCGAAAAUGAGGCGAAAACUGGAAGCUGGAGUCAAAUCGGGCAUCAAGCAGCCCGUAGUAUCUCCUGAUCCAGCUGUUAUUUCAUUCAAUUGAUUCACUUCCAGAGUUCAAAAAAGAAAGUCACAUUGUAAAUUUUGGUCGAUUGGAUAAGUCCGUCCUUCUCCCACUUCAUCGUCAAUGGACACUGGACCUGCCAUCCUCCAGUGACGCAAUCAUAAUAGGUUAACCCCCACAAAUCUGUAUCGAGCGGAAUUUGACAUUCUUUUUCCUUUCUAACCUUUUGUCCUUUUCCUUCGUCUCUGUGUACAUUCAUGUGUGUGUGAAUGUAUUCACAAGGGCACUCCUUAUUUCGAUUCCCCCACCUCUCCCACGGAAGCCAAUUGCCCAUGUCACUGCACAACUUCCGCUACUGGACUCUGAGCGAGAAAACGAUUCCAGCGAAAUCCAAUGGAGGAUUUCCGCUCCCUUUUUUCAGAUUUUGGAUGUUGGCGGGUUGUGGGGUCCUACCGUGUCUCAUCGCUUCCAUCCAAGCAAAGCAUGAGCUAAUCUAUCUCACUGCGACGACUACAAAUGGCGGAAUAAUACCCCAGUGGCGCCUGAGGAAGUCUUCAGCAGCAUUUCAAACUGCGAAUCCGGAACGGAUGGACAGGGUGCGAUCGUCAAAUUCCGAUCCAUAGACGGGAAACCAUCAUCAAAAGUGUCAACUAGGACGUUGGUCAUCGAUUCCGUCAGGAGCUACUUCUCAUCAGUGGAUUUUAUCGAUUUUCAUGAGUUGCACCCAGGGAUUCCUGCUUCGUGUUGAUUUAAACAAGAACCCAGUUUUAUUCGCGAUGCAACAUUUGGCUGAGAACUGGAUGGAUGGAAGCCAAUUCUUGUUCCAGCUGUUUGCCGAUGCAGGGAUGGAAAGGGGACACGAGAUGCACCAGCGUCGGUUUUGAGCCGUGUCCAUGGCAACGCAGUCGAGUGAUUGUGUACGUCGCAAUCCCGCCUAUGGUGUAGGCAACCGGAAGCGCCAUUCUUGCGGACAGCAAUCAACGGGAUGGUCAACAACAUCAUUUUUAGUUGUUGUGCCUGUCACAAAACGGGCACGGAAUUUCUUGUAAUUGGCAGUCGUCUUUCACUCGUGACGGUAUUUAUUCGCAGAUAUACAGUACGAUUUCUGUGGAAUUCAACUUGUAAAAGGUUUAAAACUGUCUAUGGAAACGCAAUUUUAUUUGGUCUAUUUGUCACGUGAAUCUAUACGCGUCUGUCGAUUUGAUUUGCGCGGCCGGGCGUCAAGAUUGCGAAAAUAUGUGCACCAAUGCCACGUCAGCGGGCACCGGAGUUGUCCAGUGUCCCAACUUCCCUGGUGACUACAAGAAUCAGGACAGGGGUUGCGGAGUCACCAUUAUCGUGCCAGAAGGAAAGAGAAUCCAAUUGACAUUCACCGCCUUCAAUUUGGAGAAUGGCGAAGCCUAUAUUUAUGUUUACGACAAAAACACGGUUUAUUUGGACAGUGUAACCGGAAGUACAAUUCCUGCAGUAGACGUCUCAACCGCAAACAUCAUGUAUCUGCAGUUUAUUGCCGUUGGCAUUACAAUACCCGACGCCGGAAGAUAUAAUUGGCAGGCGACUUACACUGCUGUGUGACGGUCAGAACUUGAUAUCAAAAAUCCUAUUUUCACAUAAACGGCCGUUUCCUUCUUCUGGGUGCCUUUCCUUCUUUGCCGUUGUUGCGUCAUUAGUCGCCAGAGACAUAGGAG